AAUCUACCAUGUUUGAAUGUCGCUUAAAGGUCAAAAUCAAAUGUGUACAUUGUACUGAUUAAAAAAAGCUUAAUUCUGUUAAAUAAUGUACUGUCUUCUAAUCAAAGUUUUAUUAAAGAUGUUCCAAGGACUGGGAGGCAGUGCCAUCAAAUGAAUGUAAUGGAAAGCAUCAGCCACAAAUCUGAAGACAGGUUUAGGAUUCCCGAUGUGCACAACACUAAGUGUGGUUGCUAAGCAGACUAAGUAUUUUGGGUUUCACAGUCACUAUGUGACUAAACUGAACGAAAUACUUCAUC